rnacentral:snRNA from 1 species
GUGCUUGCUUCGAUGGCACAUACACUAAAAUUAGAACAAGACAGAAUAUUAGCAUGGUUCCUGUGCAGAGAUAUAUUUUUACAUAGUUACUAUUUUAUU